rnacentral:rRNA from 1 species
GUGGGGAAUAUUGGACAAUGGGCGAAAGCCUGAUCCAGCCAUGCCGCGUGUGUGAAGAAGGUCUUCGGAUUGUAAAGCACUUUAAGUUGGGAGGAAGGGUAGUAACCUAAUACGUUGCUACUUUGACGUUACCGACAGAAUAAGCACCGGCUAACUACGUGCCAGCAGCCGCGGUAAUACGUAGGGUGCAAGCGUUAAUCGGAAUUACUGGGCGUAAAGCGUGCGCAGGCGGUUAUAUAAGACAGAUGUGAAAUCCCCGGGCUCAACCUGGGAACUGCAUCCAAAACUGCUGAGCUAGAGUACGGUAGAGGGUAGUGGAAUUUCCUGUGUAGCGGUGAAAUGCGUAGAUAUAGGAAGGAACACCAGUGGCGAAGGCGACUACCUGGACUGAUACUGACACUGAGGUGCGAAAGCGUGGGGAGCAAACAGGAUUAGAAACCCCGGUAGUCC